GUAGUCCACGCCGUAAACGAUGUCGACUAGCCGUUGGACUCCUUGAGGGUUUAGUGGCGCAGCUAACGCGAUAAGUCGACCGCCUGGGGAGUACGGCCGCAAGGUUAAAACUCAAAUGAAUUGACGGGGGCCCGCACAAGCGGUGGAGCAUGUGGUUUAAUUCGACGCAACGCGAAGAACCUUACCUACUCUUGACAUCCAGAUGACCCUGCAGAGAUGUGGGGGUGCCUUCGGGAAAUCUGAGACAGGUGCUGCAUGGCUGUCGUCAGCUCGUGUCGUGAGAUGUUGGGUUAAGUCCCGUAACGAGCGCAACCCUUGUCCUUAGUUGCCAGCACGUAAUGGUGGGAACUCUAAGGAGACUGCCGGUGACAAACCGGA
rnacentral:rRNA from 1 species